AGGCUAUUAUUCUUGUUCCUCCUAAUUAUAGCGUCCUCUUUUGCUCAGAAAAAAAUUAUAAAUUGAUUUGAUUCGGUUAAUUUAGGAGGGAAAAGAAAAAAAGAACCCCUUUUCUGUGGUCUCCGAAUUCUCGGGAGGCAGAUCAUGUAGGUGAAAUAACAAUCCAUGGAUUGGGGAUCAGAAGAAAAUCGGAUGCUCCAUUCAAAAUCACAGUCGGUGCUGGAUUCACAUCACGAUGUCCAUAUGUUAACGCGGCAUUUAUGGUCCCAGGCAGAGAGCAAGAUGAGGAUGUUAUUCACUGUUUCUUUGGGGAAGGAGGACCGAGGACGGACCACAGCUUUCUUAGUACGAGAGUGAUGUGAACUGUUAAGGCCGAAUUGUGAUCUGUUUUUUUGGAUCGUGUGUGAAGGUGCUCUCCGCGGCACAUUUCCACCCACUCUCAAUAUGGCACGCCAG